AGGGUUUGAUCAUGGCUCAGAUUGAACGCUGGCGGCAGGCCUAACACAUGCAAGUCGAACGGUAGCAUUUCUAGCUUGCUAGAAGAUGACGAGUGGCGGACGGGUGAGUAAUGCUUGGGAACUUGCCUUUAGGAGGGGGAUAACAGUUGGAAACGACUGCUAAUACCGCAUAAUGUCUACGGACCAAAGGGGGCUUUUAGCUCUCACCUAAAGAGAGGCCCAAGUGAGAUUAGCUAGUUGGUAAGGUAAAGGCUUACCAAGGCGACGAUCUCUAGCUGUUCUGGGAGGAAGAUCAGCCACACUGGGACUGAGACACGGCCCAGACUCCUACGGGAGGCAGCAGUGGGGAAUAUUGCACAAUGGGGGAAACCCUGAUGCAGCCAUGCCGCGUGUGUGAAGAAGGCCUUCGGGUUGUAAAGCACUUUCAGUUGUGAGGAAAGGUUGGUAGUUAAUACCUGCCAGCUGUGACGUUAACAACAGAAGAAGCACCGGCUAACUCCGUGCCAGCAGCCGCGGUAAUACGGAGGGUGCGAGCGUUAAUCGGAAUUACUGGGCGUAAAGCGCACGCAGGCGGUUUGUUAAGCUAGAUGUGAAAGCCCCGGGCUCAACCUG
rnacentral:rRNA from 1 species